CAUCCGUGUAUAUGUUUUUCCUUAAUUGAAGAGGGCUGUGGUAAAAAUAAGGAGGAUGGCACCUCUCAUUCAUACACAAACUCUCCCUUGACUAGAAGGCUAUAUUGUGGUAUAGAAGAAAAAAUAUCAUUAGUCCCAUAUUGGUUGUGAGUCAUUGGAGACUCUGACUUAUCUAGGAAGGAACCAUCCAUCCCACGCGAGGUAUCUUUUGAAGAGCAAAAUCAUGAAAUCCAUAGGUUAAAGUGGAUAAUAUCUCACGUACCGAGCUAUAAGCUCUUGGCCAUAUUAGUGGCGCACUAGGAAGGAAGGUCAACUCCCCCUUGAGUAGAAUUAAGGCUAUGUUGUAGUAUAGGUGAGAGGGCAUUAUUAAUCUCACAUUGGUUGUAAGUGAGGAGGAACACUGGCUUAUAUAGGAAGCAACCACCCAUCUUAUGUGAGACGUCUUUUGAAGGGCAAUACCAUGUGGCUCAUGAGCC
rnacentral:lncRNA from 1 species